rnacentral:rRNA from 1 species
CAGCCAUUCCGCGUGAGUGAAGAAGGCCUUCGGGUUGUAAAGCUCUUUCAGCAGGAGCGAAACGGUCGUUUUUAAUACAGACGGCUAAUGACGGUACCUGCAGAAGAAGCACCGGCUAACUACGUGCCAGCAGCCGCGGUAAUACGUAGGGUGCGAGCGUUAAUCGGAAUUACUGGGCGUAAAGCGUGCGCAGGCGGCGACAUAAGACAGAUGUGAAAUCCCCGGGCUCAACCUGGGAACUGCGUUUGUGACUGUGUUGCUAGAGUGUAGCAGAGGGGGGUGGAAUUCCACGUGUAGCAGUGAAAUGCGUAGAUAUGUGGAGGAACACCGAUGGCGAAGGCAGCCCCCUGGGUUAACACUGACGCUCAUGCACGAAAGCGUGGGGAGCAAACAGGAUUAGAUACCCUGGUAA